rnacentral:rRNA from 1 species
AUUGAACGCUGGCGGAAUGCUUUACACAUGCAAGUCGAGCGGCAGCGCGGGGGCAACCCUGGCGGCGAGCGGCGAACGGGUGAGUAAUACAUCGGAACGUGUCCUGGAGUGGGGGAUAGCUCGGCGAAAGCCGGAUUAAUACCGCAUAAGCUCUGAGGAGGAAAGCGGGGGCUCCGUAAGGACCUCGCGCUGUUGGAGCGGCCGAUGUCGGAUUAGCUAGUUGGUGGGGAAAGGCCCACCAAGGCGACGAUCCGUAGCUGGUCUGAGAGGAUGAUCAGCCACACUGGAACUGAGACACGGUCCAGACUCCUACGGGAGGCAGCAGUGGGGAAUCUUGCGCAAUGGGCGAAAGCCUGACGCAGCCAUGCCGCGUGAAUGAUGAAGGUCUUAGGAUUGUAAAGUUCUUUCGCUCGUGACGAUGAUGACGGUAACGAGAGAAGAAGCCCCGGCUAACUUCGUGCCAGCAGCAGCCGCAGU